rnacentral:rRNA from 1 species
AUUGAACGCUGGCGGCAUGCCUUACACAUGCAAGUCGAGCGGCAGCGCGGGGGCAACCCUGGCGGCGAGCGGCGCACGGGUGAGUAAUGCAUCGGAACGUGUCCUCUUGUGGGGGAUAACCAGUCGAAAGACUGGCUAAUACCGCAUGAGCACGAGAGUGGAAAGCGGGGGACCGUAAGGCCUCGCGCGAGAGGAGCGGCCGAUGCCGGAUUAGCUAGUUGGUGGGGUAACGGCCUACCAAGGCGACGAUCCGUAGCUGGUUUGAGAGAACGACCAGCCACACUGGGACUGAGACACGGCCCAGACUCCUACGGGAGGCAGCAGUGGGGAAUUUUGGACAAUGGGGGCAACCCUGAUCCAGCCAUGCCGCGUGAGUGAAGAAGGCCUUCGGGUUGUAAAGCUCUUUCGGCCGGAACGAAAUCGCGCGCAUGAAUAAUGCGCGUGGAUGACGGUACCGGAAGAAGAAGCACCGGCUAACUACGUGC